rnacentral:rRNA from 1 species
GUAAGGAAUAUUGGUCAAUGGGGGCAACCCUGAACCAGCCAUGCCGCGUGAAGGAUGAAGGCGUUAUGCGUUGUAAACUUCUUUUGUAUGGGAAGAAUGAAAGGGAUUCAUCCUUGGAGAGACGGUACCAUACGAAUAAGCACCGGCUAACUCCGUGCCAGCAGCCGCGGUAAUACGGAGCGUGCAAGCGUUCUCCGGACUCACUGGGUUUAAAGGGCACGUAGGCGGUUAAUUAAGUCAGUAGCGAAAGACUGUCGCUCAACGACGGAUGUGCUAUUGAUACUGGUUAACUUGGAUCAGGUUAGAGGUGGCGGAAUGGGUCAUGUAGCGGGGAAAUGCUUAGAUAAGGCUUGGAACACCGAUAGCGAAGGCAGCUGACUGAGCCUUGAUUGACGCUGAGGUACGAAAGUGAGGGUAGCGAACAGGAUUAGAUACCCUAGUAGUCC